rnacentral:rRNA from 1 species
AGGCCGACAGGCGUAGUCGAUGGGUAACCAGUUGAUAUUCUGGUACCGGCUUGUCACCGUCCGUGUCGAGGUGUGUGAUGCUAAGCAUGUGAGCUUGUCUUGGGAGUGUUUUUGAUGCUUCUGGGGUGGGUGAGU